rnacentral:rRNA from 1 species
UACGAAGGGGGCUAGCGUUGCUCGGAAUUACUGGGCGUAAAGGGAGCGUAGGCGGACAUUUAAGUCAGGGGUGAAAUCCCAGAGCUCAACUCUGGAACUGCCUUUGAUACUGGGUGUCUUGAGUGUGAUAGAGGUAUGUGGAACUCCGAGUGUAGAGGUGAAAUUCGUAGAUAUUCGGAAGAACACCAGUGGCGAAGGCGACAUACUGGAUCAUUACUGACGCUGAGGCUCGAAAGCGUGGGGAGCGAACAGG